rnacentral:rRNA from 1 species
UACGUAGGGGGCAAGCGUUGUCCGGAUUUAUUGGGCGUAAAGCGCGUGUAGGCGGCUCGAUAAGUCUGCUGUGAAAGUCCAAGGCUCAACCUUGGGAUGCCGGUGGAUACUGUCGAGCUCGAGUCCGGAAGAGGCGAGUGGAAUUCCUGGUGUAGCGGUGAAAUGCGCAGAUAUCAGGAGGAACACCAAUGGCGAAGGCAGCUCGCUGGGACGUGACUGACGCUGAGACGCGAAAGCGUGGGGAGCAAACAGG